rnacentral:rRNA from 1 species
UACGAAGGGGGCUAGCGUUGCUCGGAAUCACUGGGCGUAAAGCGCACGUAGGCGGAUUGCUAAGUCAGGGGUGAAAUCCUGGAGCUCAACUCCAGAACUGCCUUUGAUACUGGCGAUCUUGAGUCCGGGAGAGGUGAGUGGAACUCCGAGUGUAGAGGUGAAAUUCGUAGAUAUUCGGAAGAACACCAGUGGCGAAGGCGGCUCACUGGCCCGGUACUGACGCUGAUGUGCGAAAAGCGUGGGGAGCAAACAGG